rnacentral:lncRNA from 1 species
CAUAGAACAGAGAGGCUAAAGUUGUCACUGUGGCAACCGUCGCCGAUAACCGAGUAAUAUUUUAAUGAUUGUAAGGUUUGUAACUAGUCAAAUAAGAAAAGAAAAAAAAAAGUCUAUUAUAAAAAUCUAGUUCUUAGAUGUUUAGAGUAAAGAUGUUAUUUUCUACUGUAUCCAUUUCAAAUAGUUACUAUUGUUUGAAUAUUUUUACUCUCCCUGGAAAUUGGGCCAUGUUGGAAAACAAGCUGCAUAUUUGAUCACUUUUUUCAGGGGCGUCGCUGACGGGGUCAGGUGAACGUGGCGAGUAGGGAGCCGAGUACCCACACUCAUCUCCUCCUCAGCUGACUGCAAACAAAAAGGGUGGGGGCGGGGAAUCUUGAGGCGAUAAAAGUGAUGAAGGUUGACUUUUUUGCACUUCUGUACAUAGUCAAAAAAGAGAGAAUCAUGUAUAUUGAGAUCUUAUUUUGAAUAAAAAAAAAAUGUCUAUAAUGACAUGGAAUUUUGCUAGGAUAACACAAAAAAAAAAUCUUAUGAAAGGCUGAACAAAAUUGCUUGCAUCAAAUAGGGCACUGAGUUCUCACUCUCCUACCCGUUUCAGAAAAGGCCAAGUGUUGCUCUUCUUUUUCGUCAGCAGCUUGUAGUUUGCCCGGUAACCUUCCGGAGGAGGCGUCCACUACACCUCCAGCGUAAGAGCCUGACUGGGUUUGUCUGGUCCCCUAACCUGCCUGUAUCUACAGGCCUCCUGAAAGGAUGUGUCAUGUGUGCAUGCCGGUCCCCUCCUCCGGAAAAGCACCUGUAGAGGGAAACCACACGUACGCCACAGUCUAAAGCCAUACAAUAUAAUCUCAUCAGAGCGAAGUGUGUGUGUGGAGAAGGCAGAAAUGUAACAGAGGAGGCAAAUAGUACCAUCUGAACCUGGUAUGAGUGAGUCUGCUGAGGUUUUAUUAACAACAACGUCAUGUGAAUAACUCGAGACGUGAAUGCCAACUUUGAUGGAUGAGAGUGAGACGUCUUGGCACAUUUUUUCAAGUGGCCUGUAUUGCUAUAUUGAUUCUUGCUGUUAUGAAUUCAAAAAAAUGUAAUAAAAAUUUACAAAUGAACUGAAGUGAAGAAGAGUUUCCUUAAGACGAGUUUCAUUUAAUUUACAGUACAUAGGUGUUGUAGUACAAGGUUAGUCUGCGUAACUAACAUUUUGGGGAAAUACACUUCAUGAUUAUAUUCCUGAGAGUCGGACUAGAAGCACGAGGUCAACAGUCACGUGUCUGUACACUGAAUAUAAAUCAGAGGGGGCUGUAGUGUUCAGAUCCAUUGCUCAUGUAGUGUAGAAAUACUCCAUUACAAUUAAAAGUCCUGCAUUCAAAAUAUUUGCAUUUCAGUAAAAUUACAUAAUUAUUGACAGGUAAACCUAAUUCAAGUAUCAAAGUAUUCACACACACAAAAACUUGUUAUGUUUUUACAUAUUAUUGAGUAAUGCAGUACCAAUG